AUACGAGGGGUGCAAGCGUUAAUCGGAAUUACUGGGCGUAAAGCGUUCGUAGGCGGUUUGUUAAGCAAGAUGUGAAAGCCCAGGGCUCAACCUUGGAACUGCAUUUUGAACUGGCAAACUAGAGUACUGUAGAGGGUGGUGGAAUUUCCAGUGUAGCGGUGAAAUGCGUAGAGAUUAGAAGGAACAUCAGUGGCGAAGGCGGCCACCUGGACAGAUACUGACGCUGAGGAACGAAAGCGUGGGGAGCGAACAGGAUUAGAAACCCUAGUAGUCC
rnacentral:rRNA from 1 species